rnacentral:rRNA from 1 species
AAACCGACACAGGUGGACUGGUAGAGUAUACCAAGGAGCUUGAGCGAAGUGUGCUGAAGGAACUCGGCAAAUUACCUGCGUAACUUCGGGAGAAGCAGGCUGCAGUUCUGGGCAACCAGAGUUGCAGGGCACAAACUAGGGGGUGGCGACUGUUUACCUAAAACACAGGGCUAUGCUAAGUCCAACGACGACGUAUAUGGCCUGACGCCUGCCCGGUGCUGGAAGGUUAAGAGGAGAAGUGCAAGCUUUGAAUCGAAGCCCCAGUAAACGGCGGCCGUAACAAUAACGGUCCUAAGGUAGCGAAAUUCCUUGUCGGGUAAGUUCCGACCUGCACGAAUGGCUAACGACUUCCCCACUGUCUCCAGCACACACUCAGUGAAAUUGAAUUCCCCGUGAAGAUGCGGGGUUCCUGCGGUUAGACGGAAAGACCCCGUGCACCUUUACUGCAACUUUGCACUGGCAAUCGUGACUGCUUGUGUAGGAUAAGUGGUAGGCUUUGAAGCAGGGGCGCCAGCUCUUGUGGAGCCGCAAUGUGAAAUACCACUCUAGUGAUUAUGGUUGUCUAACCGCGGACCGUUAUCCGGUCCCGGGACAGCGCAUGGUGGGCAGUUUGACUGGGGCGGUCGCCUCCUAAAUCGUAACGGAGGCGUCCGAAGGUGGGCUCAGGUUGGUCGGAAAUCAACCGUCGAGUGCAAUGGCAUAAGCCCGCCUGACUGCGAGACUGACAGGUCGAGCAGAGUCGAAGGACGGCCAUAGUGAUCCGGUGGUUCUUCGUGAGAGGGCCAUCGCUCAACGGAUAAAAGGUACGCCGGGGAUAACAGGCUGAUGACGCCCAAGAGUCCAUAUCGACGGCGUCGUUUGGCACCUCGAUGUCGACUCAUCACAUCCUGGGGCUGGAGCAGGUCCCAAGGGUAUGGCUGUUCGCCAUUUAAAGUGGUACGUGAGUUGGGUUCAGAACGUCGCGAGACAGUUCGGUCCCUAUCUGCCGUAGGUGUUGGAGAAUUGAGAGGAUCUGUCCUUAGUACGAGAGGACCGGGAUGGACGCACCUCUGGUGGACCUGUUGUCGUGCCAACGGCACAGCAGGGUAGCUAUGUGCGGACGGGAUAACCGCUGAAGGCAUCUAAGCGGGAAACCCACCUCAAAACAAGUUCUCCCUCGAGAGUCGUGGAAGACCACCACGUUGAUAGGCCGGGUGUGGAAGCAGGGCAACCUGUGUAGCUUACCGGUACUAAU